UAUCUCUGUAGAGUCUGCAUAUCAAUAAGCGGAGGAAAAGAAACUAACUAGGAUUCCCUCAGUAACGGCGAGUGAAGCGGGAAGAGCUCAAAUUUGAAAUCUUCAAGGUUUGACCUUGACGAAUUGUAGUUUAUAGAAGUGUUUUCUGUUGGAGUUUUGGUAAAAGUUCUUUGGAAUAGGACAUCAUAGAGGGUGAGAAUCCCGUAUUUGACCAUUAUUUCCAGCUUUGUGAUACACUUUCAAAGAGUCGGAUUGUUUGGGAAUGCAGUCCAAAAUGGGUGGUAAAUUUCAUCUAAAGCUAAAUAUUGGCGAGAGACCGAUAGCGAACAAGUACCGUGAGGGAAAGAUGAAAAGAACUUUGAAAAGAGAGUUAAACAGUACGUGAAAUUGUCAAAAGGGAAGCGUUUGACACCAGUGUUGUUUUCUCGAAAAUCAAUUGAAAAUGGCUUGAUUUUGUGUUGUAUUGACCUUAAAAGCUUUCUUCACUUUUUUCAUGUCUUUUUUAAUGCACUUUUCGUUUAACAAGUCAACAUCAGUUUCUUUUGUUGUAAAAAGGUCAUUGGAAGGUGGCUUUCUUUUCGGAGAAAGUGUUUAUAGCCUUUGACUCCUGCAAUCGGAGAGACUGAGGUCUGCAGCGUAGAUCCUUCUGGAUUAGAUUCAUUUGUGCUAAGUUACAACCGUUUAUAGACAACUUGUUGACUAUAUUCGAUCCUGUAGCUUACUCGCCUAUGUAAUUUUACCUACGCUUAGGAUGUUGAGUCAUCACACAUCUCU
rnacentral:rRNA from 1 species